UGAUAUCCUUUUUUCAAUUGCCUGGUUGUGCAAGGAAGAAAAAAUUUUGAAACAAUAGCAAAGUAAGUUAGUGCAAUAUCUUGUCAGUUUUCACUAUUUCUCUCGGUUAAGAUGAAAUGAGAAAUAUAUAUUUGAAAUGUUAGAACUUAGAAUCAAUGAUAAGAAAUAAGGAGGAACUGUUUCACAGGUACACGCACAUACAGAGGCUUAUGCAGAUGCAAGCUCACCAAAGCUUAUUCAUUUUGCAGAAUAUUAGAUGUAAAUAGAUACAAGUAAACUAAUUUGUACUAGUACCAAUAUUCUAUAAAUAGACGCUUGAUUUUAGUGGGCAUCAACUGCAUAGAAUGCUUUCUCCCUCUUUAAUAGUAGGGGCCAUCAUAUGAAAUGCUACUGCUUUAAUCUUCAAGUGAGACAGUUAAGGCAAAAGGCAGAGCCAAAAAAAAUAAUAAUAAUAAGGAGAAAACUAAAGCCAAAGAAAAUUUAUUAAAUUUCAUAGCCAGACAAUUGAUGAUCAUGCAUAAAUACAGAUAUCCACAGAUGUGAAUUCUACUCGGCCCACUUUACCUAGUCAGCAGAGAGGACAACCUUCAGGAACUCGCUUCUAAAAGACUUUUGCCUAGCAAGAGGAAAGAAUGUGACUGACAUUCCUUUAGCAAGUGGCAAUUGCAUAAACUGGUAGCCACUAGAAUUUCAAGCAAUCAUAGACAUAUUUUCAACCAUAACUCUAACCCUAGGCUUUCCAAAGGGAUAAUGUUUGUGCAGCCAUUGAUCAAGCUAUAAUCAUAUCAUCAACACCCUCACUCCAAGAAUGUCAACUCCAAAAUUAAUGCACUUAAAGAGGAAAGAACCAGGUGUCCUUGACGCAGCGUGAAGCUCAAAUAGAAAUACACUCCACACGCAAGAGUGAAAAUAAGGAGAGAAAACUCUGUUGAAUUUUUAUUAAUAAUAAUUUGUCUUCAAAUUACAUGUAAAUAAGGAUAUUUAUAGUGUUUUAAGACUUCUAAACCUAAUAAGAAUAUAAAUCUAGGAAUUUAGAUAAACUAAAACACAAUAAGAAGAUAUAAAUUAAAUAGGAAAACUAAAUCCUAGAUAAAGUAGAAAAACAUUAAUAAGCCCUAAAUAGAGUAGAAGACUUCGUAAUUAAUUCUAAUAUAAUCUCUACAGUUGUUGGAAGUUUUCAUAAGACGUCCUAGAUAAAUUAG
rnacentral:misc_RNA from 1 species